UCUCGGCUUAUCACCGGCAGUCCCCCUAGAGUGCCCAACUGAAUGAUGGCAACUAAGGGCGAGGGUUGCGCUCGUUGCGGGACUUAACCCAACAUCUCACGACACGAGCUGACGACAGCCAUGCAGCACCUGUGCAUGGACUCCGAAGAGGGUCCGAUGUUUCCACCGGCUUUCCCAUGCAUGUCAAGCCCAGGUAAGGUUCUUCGCGUUGCAUCGAAUUAAAGAACAUGCUCCGCUGCUUGUGCGGGCCCCCGUCAAUUCUUUUGAGUUUUAGCCUUGCGGCCGUACUCCCCAGGCGGAACACUUAUCGCGUUGGCUUCGGCACGGAUAGAUUCGACUCCACCCACACCUAGUGUUCAUCGUUUACGGCGUGGACUAC
rnacentral:misc_RNA from 1 species